UACGUAGGUGGCAAGCGUUGUCCGGAAUCACUGGGCGUAAAGGGCGCGUAGGCGGUCCGCUAAGUGUGUGGUGAAAGCUCGGGGCUCAACCCCGAGUCGGCCGUGCAAACUGGUGGACUCGAGCAUGUCAGAGGCAGGCGGAAUUCCGGGUGUAGCGGUGGAAUGCGUAGAGAUCCGGAAGAACACCGGUGGCGAAGGCGGCCUGACUGGGACAUGGCUGACGCUGAGGCGCGAGCAGCGUGGGGGAGCAAACGAGG
rnacentral:rRNA from 1 species